AACGAACGCUGGCGGCAGGCUUAACACAUGCAAGUCGAACGCCCCGCAAGGGGAGUGGCAGACGGGUGAGUAACGCGUGGGAAUCUACCCAUCUCUACGGAAUAACUCAGGGAAACUUGUGCUAAUACCGUAUACGCCCUUCGGGGGAAAGAUUUAUCGGAGAUGGAUGAGCCCGCGUUGGAUUAGCUAGUUGGUGGGGUAAAGGCCUACCAAGGCGACGAUCCAUAGCUGGUCUGAGAGGAUGAUCAGCCACAUUGGGACUGAGACACGGCCGAAACUCCUACGGGAGGCAGCAGUGGGGAAUAUUGGACAAUGGGCGCAAGCCUGAUCCAGCCAUGCCGCGUGAGUGAUGAAGGCCCUAGGGUUGUAAAGCUCUUUCACCGAUGAAGAUAAUGACUGUAGUCGGAGAAGAAGCCCCGGCUAACUUCGUGCCAGCCGCCGCAGUAA
rnacentral:rRNA from 1 species